rnacentral:miRNA from 1 species
UAUAUUGGGUUAGCCAAAAAGUUCAUUCAGGAUUUUCCUUAAGAUGGAAUGGUAUGGAAAAACCUGAACGAACUUUUUGGCCAACCCAAUAU